UUGGAGGGCAAGUCUGGUGCCAGCAGCCGCGGUAAUUCCAGCUCCAAUAGCGUAUAUUAAAGUUGUUGCAGUUAAAAAGCUCGUAGUUGAAUUUCGGGGUUAGUAGGUUGGUCAUGCCUCUGGUAUGUACUGGUCUCACUGAUUCCUCCUUCCUGAUGAGCCGUAAUGCCAUUAAUUUGGUGUUGCGGGAAGUUAGACUGGUACUUGUAAAACUUUGAAAUU
rnacentral:rRNA from 1 species